UUUGAGUCCGGCUUAAAAUCGCCUCAGAUUAUGGCGAAUGGCCGGGGCAGCCCGCAGGGACGCGGGCUGAGGCGAAACGAGACAGGAUGUCGAGUCGAGCCGUACCCGAAAAGCCAGUCGCCAUAAUCUGAGGUUCCGCGUAGCGGCGAUUUUU
rfam:Pluralibacter gergoviae strain JS81F13 contig_32, whole genome shotgun sequence.